CACGCCUUAAUGCGGUGCUACACUACGCUAUUAAGGUGGACAGACGGGUGUAUAAAUAUGUGUCCAUACCCCCUAUGUGAAUUAAACACUCAUAUAGGGCUACUACGCUCACGUCCAACGCUCACGUCACACCAUAAUGCGGCUAUAUGCUACGCCAUUAAGGUGGACAGACACAUAUAGCUAGCUAGAAUUUUAUAUACAUACUCUCUCAUAAAUACAUAUUUAUAUCCACCGAAAAUCCCAUUUUCGGUAACUCUCCAAAAGAAAUAAAAAAAAUCGUCAAAUUAAGAUGACGUCAAAAAUAUUCCUCAACAUUAAUAUUCAACCAAAAACUAUAGCAUGCAUUUAUUUAAAAUAAACGUCCACUCACAAAUUAGGCCUAAGCCUGAUGUCGAUCUGGGGCCUCGUCUGCACGAGCCUCCUCACGUCCUAUUCCAAAUAUAAUAUUAAUUUCCCAACCGAAAAUCCAGAACGAACUCAAAAAUAGGCAAAAUAAUUAUGAGCCGUAACCACGCUCAUUCUCGCCUAACUUCGAAAUGGUCCACACCUCAACCCUAGAACCAGCAGCCGUUUCUACACCUUCCCACAGAUUAAACAACUUUAAUCCAACGGCCGGAUUCUACAUUAAUUAACCGCAAAAAAUACCAAACUUCGGAAAAUCAUAAACCUAUCCAAAACUCAUCCAAAAAUUCCAUAACUCACUUCAAUAAACUCCCCUUAAUAAUCCACAUUUAAAACCCUAAAAAUCUCCCAAACCGCGGCGGCUCCGCCGGCAACGGCGGCCGGAGGCCGAUUCCGGCGACCUCUAAAUUCUACCAAAUUUUAAGAGAAUAAUCCUCUCAACAUGCUCUACAACUUUCCUAACUAGCACAAACCCAUAAUCCAAGCCUAGCUAUGCCAAUCGAACGAAAACAACUUAAAAGCCCUAGAACUUCCACUCACCGGUUCUCCUUAUCUAGCUCAAGAGGGAGUGAGACCUUUGGAGGGGUUGUUGCACGAGAGGAGGGCUACAAAACGAGCCAAGGAUCGCCGGCUGUGGUGGCCGGAGGAGGGAGUUCCGGCGAUGGAACCACCACGGUAGUCGUAGCUUCCGGGCGGCGUCUCUUCCUCACGGCGGCGCUAGAGAGGCUGCCACCGGUCUAGAACGGUAGCUGGGUUGGAGACCGAUCGAUUGGGACCGGUGCGGCGGUUUGGGGCGGCCGGACGGCGGCGGUCGGAAUUCCGACAGGGAGAGGCUCGGGUGCGGGAGCGGGAGAGGAGAGAGAGAAUCGGGAGGGAGAGAGAGAUUUUUGGGCUUGGCCCAACCGGUUCCAACCCACAAAUACCCAAUCCAAAUUUCAACACCCCAAAAUAAUACCCUAUAAAAAUUACCUUUUACUAGCAAAAAUUUACUAUUUUUACCGUCGUCAUAUUUUUCUCCUACGAAUAACUCUCCGAAAUAAUCGUCCCCCAAAACCCCUUUAGGGACCAAUUAAACUAUAAUUUCAUUGACGAAGACGGUAAAAUUCUUAUUAUAAUCAAGCUAGUAAACAAGGUAAACAUUUAAGGGUCGGGAUGUGACAUUUUGGGCGGCGAGAAUCGGUCCGAAGGUUGGUGGGUGGUGGAGGGGAGGAAGGUGGUGGGGCAGAUGAAGAGGAGGGUGGUGCGGUAGAUGGGAGAGAUGGAGAAGACGUAUUGGGAACAGAUGCCGUCGUUGUGGAUGAGAGAGGAUAAGAAAAGUCAGUUGGGUCAUAGAUUGGAUUCGGAAUUGGGCCUGAAGAGUGGCCCAAGUGAGGAGAAACUGAAGUAGAUUUGUCAGAAGCAUAGGGAAAAUAGUUUCAUGAAAAAUGACAUCUCUACUUGUAAAAAUCUUUUUGGUGGAAGGAUUGUAUAAUUUGUAUGCCUUUUGGCCAACGGGAUAACCAACAAAAAGGCCAGCUACAGCACGAGAAUCAAAUUUAUGCAGAGGGUGAACAUUAGUAGCAUAAGCAAGACAACCAAACACACGAAGAUGAUGAUAAGGAGGAGGUUUUGAGUAAAGACGCUCGAAUGGGGUUUUGAAAGAAAGAAGAGGGGUAGGUAAUCGAUUGAUGAUGUGAACGGCAUGAAGUGCACAUUCUCCCCAAAAUUGAAUAGGGAGUUGGGCAUGAAAUCUUAAAGCUCGGGCGACUUGUAAAAUGUGGCGAUGUUUUCGUUCUACAACCCCAUUUUGUUGGGGCGUGUAAACGCAAGAAUGUUGAAAGAUUACACCAUUGUCAUUGAAAAAAGAUCAAAGUGAAAGGAACUCGCCACCAUUAUCACUGCGGAAAGCUUUUAUACGAGAUGUGAAUUGAGUGGAAACAUAGCUGAAAAAGCGCUUGAGAAUAGGUUGUGCUUCAUUUUUGUGUUUCAUCAAAAAAAUUCAAGUGAAUCUGGUGUAAUCAUCAACGAUGGUGAGGAAGUAAUGGGCACCAGAAAGAGAGGGGUGUUUAUAACGACCCCAGAUAUCACAAUGAAUUAAAUCAAAUGGUUUUUCAGAUGAAAUGGAACUCACACCAAAAGGCAAGCGAUGUUGCUUAGCCAAAGGACAAAUAGGACAAGCAUCAACGGGUUGAACUGAAAGAUUUAAGAAGUGCUUAGCAAUGAAUUUUAAAGGAGCAUGAGAAACAUGACCUAAACGGCUAUGCCAGAGAUCAGUGGAUAGGUCGGAUGAGGUUGAGAAGUUGCAGACUGAUUGAUGGUUUGAGGAUGAAUGGGAAUUGGUUAGGGUUUUCUUCGUCGCUAAUGCCGCCAGGUAAUAUAAUCCAUCACGCUGCUUUCCCAAACCAAUCAUCCUCCCUAGCCAGAUCCUGCAAAACACACCAAUAUGGGAAAAAUGUCACUGAACAAUUCAUGCCUCUUGUUAAUCUACUCACAGACAUGAGAUUAACUUUGAAUGUAGGGACACACAACACAUCAUGCAAAUAGUACUCAGAAUUUAGAGACAAACAACCCUUGGCAACAAUAUUGGCCUUUUCUCCACUAGGCAACAACACCGGAGGCAAUGAACAAUUUUUAUCCCCGUGUAGUAGUGAACUUUGAGAAGAAGAGAUGUGAUCUGUUGCGCCGCUAUCGAUAAUCCAACGGCGAGAAGUGAUCACUACCAGAAGAAAAGCUUUAGCCGACGAAAAUAAAAAAACCAGGCCGACGAAUUUUUUUUUCCUUCGUCGGCUAAUUUAAAAUUUUCGUCGGCUAUGGUCAACUUUAACCGAUGAAAUUAAUAUUUCGUCGGCUGAAUAAUUUUUUUCGUCGGCUAUAGUCUGUGAACUUUAGCCGACGAAAUUUUUAAAAGUUUAGCCGACGAAAAAUAUAAUUUCGUCGGCUAAAGUGCCUUAUAUUUGCAGAUCUGGACAACAACUUAUCUGGAAAAAAAAACUAUACGUAGAACAUUCAAACGUAAAAAAGUCGUGAAAUAAGAUAUGACCAGAAUGGUGAAAUACGUCUAUGGUUGAAAAAUCACGGUAUUCCGGUAUUGUCUCGGUGCCGAUAGUUGACUUACCCUUAUUAUUUACUAUGCUGCAGAUUUGGCGUUUGGUGUCCGAUUGACUAUUGUGAUACCUUUCUGGAAGCGUAACGGCCCUACGAGUCAAACUCAUCGCUAUUACCAUGACAUAUGAGCCUUUUUGGCCAUCCGAGUCCGUUUAGAGCUUCAAAAUGCAGUUUUCUUAUUUCUAAUUAGAGUUGACCGUUUUGAUCGAGCCCUUACCGUUGUCGAAUCCAGUUGAAUUUUUUACCAUAGACAUCUUUCGUCAUAAUGAUCAUAUCUGACGGUCGAAUUUUGGUUUGUGAAUUUUAGUCAUCGAAAUCACAACGUGUCUACUAUUUACCGUUAUUAUUCCCUAUGGGGAGCCCUAUCGUCGGAAGGUAAAUGUCUCAAAAUUUUUAUAUGGGCAGUUGCGUCUCAUCUACGUGAGAGUUUUUCAUGUGGAAGGUUUGACCAAACUACGUAAUAUAGAGGGAGAUAUGAGCGUUUUCGUGUGAUAAGUGACGAUGGAUUAGGGUUGACCGUUUCGAUCGAGCCCUUAACGUUGUCAGAUCCAGUUGAAUUUUUUACCAUAGACAUAUUUCGUCAUAAUGAUCAUAUCUGACGGUCGAAAUUUGGUUUGUGAAUUUUAGUCAUCGGAAUCACAACGUGUCUACUACUGUUGUAUAACUUGUUUAGUAGGUUAUACAACUUUGUGAACCAACUCUACAUAAGAGGCAAAAUUAUCAAAAAUCUUGUGAAAUAAGAUGUGUUCAGAAUGGUGAAAUACGGCUAUGGUUCAAAAAUCACGUAAAUCGGGUAAAGUCUCGGUGCCGAUAGUAGCGGUCAACCCUAUUUACCGUUAUUAUUCCCUAUGGGGAGCCCUAUUGUCGGAAGGUAAAUGUCUCAAAAUUUUUAUAUAGGCGGUUGCGUCUCAUCUACGAGAGAGUUUUUUGUGUGGAAGGUUUGACCAAACUACGUAAUAUAGGGGGAGUAUGAGCGUUUUCGUGAAUUUAUAGACUUUAGCCGACAAGAUAUUAAAAAAGUCGUCGGCUAAGGUAAAAAAAUUUCAAAAUUUUUUGGGCGGUAAACCAAAGUUGGAGGAAUAUUUUCAAAGGACUUUAGCCGACGAAAAUAUAUGAAAAGUCGUCGGCUAAAGUCGAAAAAUUUUCAACCAAAAUUUUUUGGCGGUCAACCAAAAUUUUCAAAAGAGUUUAGCCGACGAAAAUAAAGAAUUUUGUCGGUUCUUUAUAUAGGCGAAGAUGGAUGGUAAGAAGUCUAUUAUCUGCCAGAUUUUCUUCUCGGCCUAGUGCCCUCGUCUCUACUUCAUUGCUGGAUAGGUGGUGCAUCGAGUGGCGCCGCCGUGAGGGAUAAAUCGAGCUCCAAAACUCCGCCGGUUCGGAUUCGGUGUCGAUCGAAUUUCUCCUUCCUUAGGUCACCAUUUGGUGAGUUCUAUAUAUGGAUAAGUUGAGUUUGAUUAGUACUACAUUCCCCUAGAAUUUGGUAGCUCGAUUCGGUGUGUGUGAAGAGAAUCGAAGAUUUGAAGUUUUUAGGGUUUAAAAUUGGGGAUUUUUAUAUUUUCAGUCGAUUGACCUGUUUAGGCUUAGAAUUGGGUUCGACUUCUUCUAGAAAGUUGUUCGAAAUGUUGAGAGGAAGAUUCUGUCAAAUUUUGGUCGUGAUUGGAGGUGGCCGAAAGUUUCUGCAGUUUUUUUUUUUCAAAACCCAGCAACUUUAGCCGACGAUAUUUAAAUACUAUAUUCGUCGGCUAUAGUAUUUUUUAAUUUUUUUUUAUAAGGUUUUGCCGACGAAUUAUGCAUAAUUCGUCGGCUAUAGUUAUUUUUUAAUUUUUUUUGUAAGGUUUAGCCGACGAAAUAUAGUAUAUUUCGUCGGCUAUAGUUAUUUUUUAAAAUUUUUUUAUAAGAUUUAGCUGACGAAAUAUACUAAAUUUCGUCGGCUAUAGUUAUUUUUUAAUUAUUUAUUACACACUUUAGCCGACGAAUAUCUUAAUUGUUUCGUCGGCUAAAGUCUGGAAAAAAACCGACGACAUGUUUUUCGUCGGCUAACUGUGGGACUAUAGCCGACAAAAAAAAAAUUUUGUCGGCUAAAGUCAUCGCCAACGACCUUUUCCCGACAAAAUCUUAGUCGACGAUGGCUCGUCGGCUAAGAUCUUUGCCGACUAAUUAAGCUAACAGGCCGACGAAACUUUUUCGUCGGCUAAAGUGCUUGUCCUGGUAGUGGAUAUUAGAAAAUUUUGGUUUGGUAACUGCAGCAUUGACUUGCGUAUCAUCAGAUCCCUUGUGAUUCAAAAUGGCCAAAGCAUGUUGAUAUUGUUGUUUGGGAAGAGGAAUGCGAACGAAGAAACCGUUUUGCCGAAUAGACUGAUUUGAUCGAUUACAUUGGUUGAACACUAUCAUCAAGGACGGACGAUCAGGAUGAUCAAUGAAAUAAUAUUUGAAUUUUGAUUCGCCAUGGAAACAAGAGAAUUAUUGUACGAGAUAUAGAGUACAACAGAAUGAUCAGAAGGAUCACUGCACGAGAGACAAGAUGCAGCGGCUAUAGAGUCAGGAUCUAGUCCUGCUCUGAUACCAUGAAAAACUGAACAGAAGAAAAGAAUUUGCUAGUAUGAAUUAUCAUUGAUACAAGGCAUGCAGUAUACAUAUACAAGGUAAAGGCGUUACCUAUAAGGUAACUAAUCUCCUACUAAACUAGAACCAAGAAUACAAUAGGAAAUAGAUAACUACAGAAUAUACAUUCCUAAUAUAAUCAAUACUCAAGAUUACUUUCCUAACAAAAACCAGAACACUAGAGAAGAAAAAACAAGGACAAUACAAGUAGCUCAAUUGAACAUUCCCAAAUAUAACAGUAAAACAAAUUAAAUUAAAUGUAGAGAGGCAAAAUCCAACAAAAAAUGUUACUUACAUUUGACUCAUUUGAUGAACCCAUAGACUUAAUACCAAACAAAGCCAGAUUAGGCAUUGCUUCAAGAAGAGUGACCAUAGCAGGAAUCAAGUCAUCAGUCCAGAUAAGGUAUCGAACCCUUAAGCAACGAACACCAUCUAAUUGAAGAGACAUAAAACGUUCUUUCGAAAAAACCUGGAUGGUAGAAAUCAAUGUAAUUUCAAAAAAAUAGAUAAGAACAAUUCACUUCAUUACAGUUGACAAAGAGCAAUACGUGUCACUUACCUUAAAGAUAGACUGACUCAGACUCUUGCAAGCAGGGUAGCUCUCCGAACUGUUGUUGAAUUGCCAAAUUCCCAUGCCAAUGCAGACGUUUAAGUUUUAGAGCAUAAAUCUUAAACGAAUUGUUAGGUCGACAAACCCAGGUGAUGAACAAUUCUUCAAGUUUAUCACCUGAGAUGUUGAGAUUGCAGCAAUUCCCACCAAAAAAAGACUCAUCAAAACAAAAUGAUUCAAGUGAAGUGCUGUCAACAAUAAUGUCCUAUUUUCCUUAGAACCAGAAACUUUGUCAAGAUGUAAUUCCUUAAUGCAUUUUCAUGAGUGUGAAAACCAUGUCCAGAACUCUUCUUAAUUUGAUAAAAAAACGUUGCUUAACUUCAAGUAUUCAAGAUUAGACAAAGAGGAAGUCAGUUCACCAAUGAAACCCUUGACGUCCACCAUUAAUGACCUCAAAGAUUCAGAGUGAAAGAGAGAAGAUGGAAGGAACUCGGACCAGUCUGGCGAAAAAUAAGUAAGUUGAACAACCUCAACAUUACACUUUACAGCAAUGUCAAUUCAGGAGCUCAGCUGUAAAUUGCCUUCAUCACAGUAGCAUAUUCCAUCAUCCUCAAAAAUGUCCUGCAGAAAUUGUACACACCAAGAAAAACGAAAGCAGCGUAUCUUCUUAUCCCCACGCUGAUUCAAGUACCUACCAAAGGAAGCCAACAAGCCUUUUCGCACUUCACAGGAAGAUAAAUUGUUCACAUCAGAAAAGUCACACAAAUUAACCGAGGGAGAUGACAGCUGAUGCCCAUUGCAUGUUUUGGAAACACAACCAACCCGAGUGAAGUCUUUGAAGGAGAGGAAGGAAAGAAUAUGAUGGGCGAUUUCAUUUGGAAGAUCACUAAACCUAUCCACAAUACUUGUUUCAGUACUACUAUUUUGCUGCAAAAUGGCCAUUGAAACUAGAAAGGUGCAAAUGGCUAUAACUUGGAGCCAGGACCCCCUUGAUCUAUACUACCUAGAUACCAAGAGUCUCUUCAAGAAACAUCCGUUCAUUCCUUGAUAAAAUAAACGUAUGCAUAUACCAAGGGGACUCACCUUCUUGUUAUCCUCCAACGAGUCAUUCUACUACAUGGGAAGUUGUAAAGUUAAUCGAGUAAUUAAUUGCAUUGAUGUCUCUUCAGAAAAAAAUUAGUCAAAGUAAUGAGGAGAAAGUUUAUGGAUUAAUUAUAAAAGACCCCUGAGUUAUAGGGUCAUUUUCGUUUUAGUACCUAACUAUUAAAAUCUUGCGUUUACAUACCCGAAGUUCUCUCUGUUUAACAACUUAGUACCUCUGUCAGUCACCCCGUUAAUUUGGGAUGUUUCUGCUGACGUGGUACUGCUGGGACCCACAACAGUCAGAACCCCAACCAGAACCCAUAUACUGUGUUGUAGCAGCUCAACUACACAAUGCAAUUGAUUUCGAGGAUCCGAAUUGUACUGAAAAGAAAAACAAUGUGAUCAGAUAAUCACCUUGGUGCGGGAAUAUCCGUAGCGAAGCUCAAUAAGAAGCCAUAGAGCUGAGAAAUGUCUGACCAGUUGUUGUGGUUGACUCGGCUGCCGACGAUGAGCAAAUGCGCUAUACAUUUCAACCCGGAGACGGCUCCGGCGACGGUCAAAGAGCUACAAUGAAGAGCACGAACCAGAAUUCCAUUAACGAGAUCGCUCUUCUUCACGAGAAUCGCCGGCGAGACUCUCCGGACGGCCAUGGAGAGAAUAGUGAGAUCAUGUGACCGGAGGGCUUCGACUCCGAUAGGAUUCGAUCGAGAGACGAGCACGCGGCGCCGAAGUAGGCGACGGGGGAGGAAGGGAGGCUUUGGUCCUUGAAGCCCUGGGCCAUGCCACCGAUGACGGCGCAAAGGUGCUGGUGGUCCUCGCGCGUGGAGUUGCCGAAGAGCGUGAGGAUUGAGGUGCAGAUGUCGGCGUCGGAGUCGUCCAAGGCGGCGGUGCUGGUUGGGGUUAGCGGCGGCUCUUCCAUUUCAAUGGCUUCCAUGCUUCGGCUCUCUCUCCAGAACCCGCCAUUGAUGGCUCUAUGAAGCUUUUGCACCACUGCUUCUGGGUUUUCCACUCCUUCACAGAUCAGCCAUGGCCGGCCCUAACCUCCUAAGCUCUCUCCUCCUCCUCCUCUCCCUCAUCUCAGUGGCCUUCACAGCCACAGACCCAAAUGACCUGACCAUUUUCAACCAGUUCCUUAAAAACAUGGAGAAUCCCGACCUCCUGAACUGGCCUUCAACCGGCGACGACCCCUGCGGCCCUCCCAAAUGGGACCACGUCUUCUGUUCCGACAACAGAGUCUCCCAGAUUCAAGUCCAAAACCUAGGGCUCAAAGGCCCUCUCCCCCAAAACCUCAACCAACUCUCUGAGAGCAAGUCCAACAUAUUCUCUAAAUUCUUUGAUUUUCUCCAUUUUGAGGAAUAUGUGCUCAUUUUCCACUCCAAGAGCUUCUCUAUCUCAUUAUCUAAAAUAGAGAAAACGAGAAAAAGAUGAAAGAGAAGUUUUGUUUCUCUAUAUUUACAGAUUCUCUAAAAAUAUUUAGAGAAAGAAGAAUUGAAUGUUGCACAUUCUUCAAGGCUCAAAGAUAAGAAAAAAACAUAAUUUAUUCUAAAAAAUAAAUUUUUAUAUUUUUAUACUUAUUAUUAUGUUGUAAUAAAUGAGGAUUGUUGUUGUAAUAAAUAUUUGAAUCUUUAAAAUAGGGAAACUGAUUUUUAGAGAAUUUGAGUUUUGCUUCUCUAUUAUGUAGAAAAUAUAAAGAAACUGUUGGACUUGCUCUGACUCUAUUAUUCGUUCAAUCUAAUUAAAAACUGACUGUUGUGGGUCCCAGCAGUGCCACGUCAGCAGAAAAGUCCCAAACUAACGAGGUGACUGACUGACGAAGGUACUAAGUUGUUAAACGGAGAGAACUUCGGGUAUAUAAACACAAGAUUUUAGUAUAGUUAGGUAUCAAAACGAAAGUGACCCCAUAACUCAGGAAAUCUUUUGUAAUUAAUCCAAAGUUUAUUGGUUCAUGGUAGCAAAAGACAUUAAUAGUUCUCUUUUUCUUCGUUUACCAAGAAGGUUUUUUUUUUUGAGAACUUGCUUAAGGACUUCCCACAAGGAAAGAACAUGCAGUGAACAAGGUCUCCCCCUCAGCAAAUUCAAAAACAAAGGAAAAUACAAAUAUUAAACUGGUUCAACUUCCUCAGACCAAAAAAAAAAAAACUGGUUCAGCUUCCAAAUCAUAAAACCAUAGUCCUAAAUCAAACAAUUCCAACUUAAUAAAGGCUUUGGAGUACAACUUACAUUGUUCUAGAGGAGCUAACUGCCGGCUUACAUACUUUGCAGUCACUCCAGCGGAGAUGGUAUUCGUUUGUACAUCCAAAGAUUGGUGAAAUACAGAAACCUUACCUUUGGAUUUGUACAAUGCAUUGUUAGCAUUUUUCACGCCUGUUCUAAUCGUUACUCAUUCUACAACUAUUUUUACCUAAAUUAAUAGGAAAGUAAUACAUCAGUAAACCUGAAAGUGACCAAUCUUCGAAAAAAAAUAAUUAACAUGAACAUGACAAUUCACAAAAUAGAAGUAUGUGGAACACAAAUAUACUAGACAUCAGAGAGUUCACUCUAAGUUGUAAACUUGGCACAAUGUAACUUUAAACAUCUGAGAAGGUCCAACAGUGAAUAAAAUUUAAUGAAUAAAACGAAAUGAGGUUGGUCUUUCAUCCUUUCUGACAUGACAGACAACUGUGGCGCUGGAUAUCAUCCUGCUUUUUAUCUCCCUCAUGACAUCGGAGUCUUUGAAUGGAUGAAAUAUGACCAUUUUCUCCAAGUUCUGAGCAUGCUCCAGGAUAUACUUUGCCAGUUCAACUCCAUUGGAUCCAUUAGAAAGCCAUAACGUUGCCUCCUUGAGCCGGUAAAUGAAAGCAAGGUUUUGCAAUUUCCAGAAUUCCAUAUCAAUACCAGAACACUGGAAGAGAACAAGGGAACAACAAAACCAAUUAAAAUAGUCAAACAAACCAUAAGAAUGAAUGCGGGGCAGUUUAGAAAGCCUGAAAUGCUCAGUCCACAAAAUUAUGAUAUAUAAAAUUAUGAUACCUUCUCUAUUAAACAACCCGCCAAAGGAAGAGAUCAUAAUAAUCAGGAACUAUGAAAGCAAUAUACACUUGACUCUAGAAUAACUUCACAAAAAAUCAUGUGUGAAAGAGGAGAUUGAGAGGCAAUAUAACUUCACUUACUCGAGCAUUAGAAACACCUGAGCGAGGGCUACACCGUAUUUGCAAAGUAUUCAGAUUAGGCAUUUCUCUAAGAAGAGAGACCAUUGCAGGAACAAUGUCAACACUCAAGUUCUUAAGUUCCACACUGAAGCAACAAAGAUCAUCUAAUGGUGUGGGAAAUAUAUAUUCCCUCGACGACAAAACCUGCAUGUUCGAAGGAAAAGCAUUUAACAAUAAAUAUGGACCCUCUAAUGUUUAAUUAAGCUAUAUAAAGUCAGAAUUUGAUUAUAAAUUAAACUUACACUAACAUAUCAAAAUUAAAAUCUUCUCUCUCCCUCUCUCCUUUUUUCUUAUAAUUAUGCAAGUAUCAGCUUAAACACUCCAUUAACAGACAUGGCAUUUCAAAAGAACAUUGUGCCUAAAUAUCAGUCUACAUAACUACAUUAGUUAAUUGAAACAUGUUUUCAUAAAAUAUUCCAGAAAAGAUAUGAGAUCAAUUGGAAAAACAAGUCAAAUAGUCUCACCAGCACUGUAUCUUUACCUUAAUUGACACGACCCACCCCGAAUUUCACCCUGAAACCCAGAAUAAGUCGUGCGGGGACCACCUCCAAGGAAAAUUUACUGAAAAGAUUAAGAAAAUCUCCCUUGUAGAUGGACAACCCUAACUCGAAAAUUUCAUAUUACACUUCUGAACAUCACAUAAUAUACAAAAAUUCUAAAGUAUUCAGAGCUACUAAACACAAGCGGAAGCAAGAAAACACAAGUAGGUGAACAGGUAACCUACUAGAUUAGAAAACUGGACCGAAAAGCGGNNNNNNNNNNNNNNNNNNNNGAAGAAGAAAAGUGGAGGGAAAGUUUUGGCGGAAUGAUUCAAAAUUCAAAAUUUUUGGCGGAAAUGACCUAUGCGACGAAAUAAAAAUUUUCAUCGCAUGAGUGAGAACUAAUGCAAUGAAAAAAAAAUUUCGUCGCAUUAGUCACAACUUAUGCGACGAAAUAAAAUUUUCGUCGUAUGAAUCCGAACUUAUGCGACGAAACAUGUUUCGUCUCAUAAACUCUCACUUAAGAGACGAAAUUUUUCAAUUUCGUCGUUUAAGUACUCACUUAAGAGAGGAACCCAGUUUCAUCUCAUAAGUGAUCACUUAAGAGAAGAAAUUUUUCAAUUUCGUCGCUUUAAUACUCACUUAAGAGAGGAAACCAGUUUCGUCUCAUAAGUGCUCACUUAAGUUACUUAAGCGACGAAUUUGAAAAAUUUCGUCUCUUAAGCCUUUUUUCCUAGUAGUGAGUAAGCUAGCCCAAGCAGCAAUGAAAGUGUAGUCGGUAGUUGGAAAAGUGUAGUCGGUAGUUGGAAACUACCUUCCCCGCCCAUAGACCAGUCAGGAAACUUGUAGACCGACAUCCGAGCUACCUCGCCAUGGUGAAAGAUCAUUCGUGUCACAUCGGGAAGGUGCUCACCCAAGCUCCAUAAAAAAGCACAAUGAUAAGUUAUAUGUGUAGUUAGUCCCACAUCGGAAAGAUAAUUUGUGAGGGAACCUUCCUUAGUUAUAAAAGGAAGGUUUCCCAUAUGUAGGAAGCUCUCUCUAACUAUCUGAUCUGAUAAUGAUCUCUCUCCCGAUCCCAAAGGCAUAUUGGCCAUGAUAGUUGAUUCUAGCCAUGUCCUCCGAUGGCAUGGUGAACCACUAUAUGUCAUUGUCUCUUGCCCAUGUUGUUUAUUGUUCGUGUUUGUGUUCCACCGUGAUUCUAUAUAGUCCCUAGGAUUAUGCAGAAACAUUUGACGCCGUCUGUAGGAAUCAGUACAAAAAGUCUUGAUGCUCUACCGGGAGGCUCAUGCAUGAAAGUCAGUUGGUGGUAUCCAGUAUGCAGGCCUAAGCCAUCACAGGCCCAACCCAUCACCUAUGCAGGCCCAAGUCACCGAGAGACAUGACCCAUCCUGCCCAGGUUCUCUUUUAACAUCAGGACAUCAUCAAGAGCCAUCCUGCCCGGGUUCUCUUAUCAUGAUGACCUGCCAAACCUCCCGCUCGGGUCCAUGACUGGCGCUUCCAGCCAUCACCCGGAGAGGAUUCAACGGGACCCGGAGACUAGUCAUGUCGGCCGGGAGCUUCGCCGUUGACGGCCGGCUCCUCCCGCUGCCCCGGUCAUCUUCUUCUCCUGGAUGGCACCUCUCCCGGGACCCGGAGCUCAGUCAUGUCGGUCGGGAGCUUCGCCGGCGACGGUCUACUCCUCCCGCUGCCCGGUCGUCUUCUUCUCCCGGGUCCGACAGCAGCUAAGCAGAAGCGUCCGGGAUUGGUGUUCUGCCAAUCCAGGGCCAGGUCCGGUGCGUCUCCCGGUGGUUCCUCUCCCGGGUCCAGCAGCAGCCAGCCUCCCGGUGACCUUGCAUCAAGCUCGUCAACAGCUAGCCUCCCGUUCUCCGGCUAAGGAAGGAAGAGGAAGUCGGUCUGGACACCCGUGAUUCCACUAUGGGCACCCAGCUCACAGCUUUCGGGAGCCUAGAGAGAAGAAAAAAGAAAGAGAAGGGGAAGAAAGGAAGAUGAAAAAAAAAGAGGAAGGGGGGUCUCGUUCUUACCGGUUUAAAAAAAAAAAAAAAAAAAAAGAAAGGAAAAGCUAUGGACACCCAUAGACGCCGGAGCUAUUUAAUUCUUUGGUCACGAGCUGGAUAUGCCGUAGCAAUGCGAACAGCCGAUUAUUACUCAUCGGAUCUCGGUGACUCAAAAAAAAAAAAAGCAAAGGAGAGAGAAACUUAUACAACACAGGUAAGGCAAUAUGAUUCUAUUCUACGGGAUUCUAACAUAAAGUUGUUAACACUACUGAAUCCUCCUAUGUGCACCCAUUCAGCAGCUAUUUUCACAGAUAAGUCCCUACCUCGUUGGUUUGUGAAAGUUCAUAAUAUUGAUGCCAUGAUUUCGUCCUAGUUGCAAGUCAACCUGUAUGUAUAUGAGUAUGCAUGCUAGUCAGUAGGUUUUGGCAUUAGACCUAGAGGCAUAAGUUAUUAAAAUCCCGAGUAAUAUCAAGCGGGAUAGGCAUUAGACCGAGAGGCAUAAGUCAUUAACAUCCCGAAUAAUAUCAAGCGGGAUAGGCAUUUGACAGAGAGAUUGGCAUUUGACAUUCAGUAUUACACAAUUGCAUGAAUCAAUACUUGGUUGGCCCCAUAAUUGUGUUGAUCAACUAAACUAUGUAAGCUGCUAAUCGCUCAUUUGUUAUGAAGGUACAAAAAUCCUCGCCCGGCCGAAUAAGUUUUGAGGCCGGGAGUCGGGAGGGGCAUUUUUUUGUCUUAUCGGCGGACUUGGGGGGACUGGGGCCGGGUGCCCGUUAAUAAAUGACUAGUCUAUGGGCAUUUUAUAUAUCAAGUCCCCACUCAAGACGCGUCUUGAACGGGAACUUGGGGGGACUUGUAGUCGGACUGAGAAUAACUACCCUCAGUAAUUACAUUCAACCACAAAAUACUGACUUAAGUUUCAGAAAAGGAAAGACCGGAAGCCCCCGGUCCCCUUGUUAUUGCAGGUCAGCGAGGAGAUAGCAGAUCAUCCACCAGACACACCAUCAGCUUCUGCGAACCCGUCCGGGAUUGUACAGAAACAGAAAACAAGGAGCCAGCUUAUUGUACUUCCUAUAUAUCUUCGAGUAGUGCCACAGUAUAACACCUGAAAACAAAAAUAAUGAACACAGAUAUAUCAAUCAAGACCACUUCUGAUAUAAUUAAGGUGAACAUGAAAAUGAUAAUAAUUAGAAAAUUAGUAUAAGCACUUCAGUGAAUAUUGUUCCCUCAAAUCAAACUGGACUUCAAAUAUACCACAGAAAAAAAAGGAUUCAGUGGCAUGAAACAAGAUACAGCCACCCCACAAUUACAACUGCAUGUAUCAAUAAAUUGACAAUUCUUGCAUACCAACAGUAGUUAAGAGUAAAAUACAUCAAAGGUACUAUACUGGUGCAUACUUUCCGUAAAAACAUUGUAUUCACUUCUUUGCAUCCUAACAGGCUAGGCGAGUGCUUUUACCCAAUUUGCAAAACCUUUCAAAUUGAUAUGCUGCAGAGUUUGUAAUUUACUUGAACUCUGGAAUAAUAAUAAUGAAAGAUGACACGACCCACCCCGAAUUUCACCCUGAAACCCAGAGUAAGUCGUGCGGGGACCAUCUCCAAGGAAAAUUUACUGAAAAGAUUAAGCAAAUCUCCUUGCAGAUGGACAACCCUAAGUCGAAAAUUUCAUAUUACACUCUUAAUUUAACGCUUCUAAAUAUCACAUAAUAUACAAAAAUUCUAAAGUAUUCAGAGCUACUAAACACAAGCGGAAGCAAGAAAACACAAGUAGGUUGUACAGGUAACCUACUGAUGAAAACUGGCCGAAAAGCGGGUGACUAUGCCUCGUCUCCUACUAGAUCCAACCCGAACUCUGCAGACUGGGCAAUUUAAAACGAAGGGCCCAGGGGAAAACAUUUAAUAACGUUAGAGUGAGUGGACAAAAAUAAAUUAAUAAUUAAAAUAUUUAUGUUUCCCCAAAUUAAUUUCUAAGGAAAAAUCGAAUGCCUGCCGCAAGCGAUAAAACCUUUAUCCCAUAAAUAUCGAGCCUCUCAGACUCUAUAAUAUAUGUAUGUAUUUACAUCGUCCAUACUCCCUAUAUAAUUCAUGGGUCUAUAUAGGGCUACUACGCUCGCGUCCAACGCUCACGUCNCGCCUAAUGCGGUGCUACACUACGCCAUCAAGGUGGACAGACGGUGUAUUAAAUACUCGUCGACCCACUACCCCUAUAUGAAUUAAACACUCAUAGUAGGGCUACUACGCUUACGUCCAACGCUCACGUCACACCAUAAUGCGGCUAUAUGCUACGCCAUUAAGGUGGACAGACACAUAUGGCUAGCUAGCAUUUUCUAUACAUACUCUCUCAUAAAUACAUAUUUAUAUUCACCGAAAAUCCCAUUUUCGGUAACUCUCUCUCAGAGAAAUAAAAGCGUCAAAAUUAAUUGACGGUAAAACUCCAACAAAAGGAAAUGUUCAAUCAUGAACCAUAGCAUGCAUAUUACUUCAAAUAAAAGUCCACUCACGAAUUAGGCCUAAGCCUGAUGUCAAUCUGGGGUCUCGUCUACUCGAGCCUCUUCACGUCCUGUUCCAAAUAUAAUAUUAAUUUCCCAACCAAUAUCCAAUAUUUAAUCAAAAUAGGCAAAAUUACCCGAGAGCCAUAAUUACGCUCAUCAUUGCCUAACUUCGAUAUUCUUACAUCGGAAUAAUCCGAACUUAAAUAUCAUACUCAACAGUCGUAAAUACAACCUCUCUAAAAUACGACUUAAAUCCAACGGCCGGAUUCUACAUUAAUUAACCGCCAAAAAUACCAAACUUCGGAAAUUCACAAACCUAUCCAAAUCUCAUCCAAAAAUUCCAUAAUUCACUUCAAUAAUAUCCCCUUAAUAUUCUACAUCAAAAACCAUAAAAUUUCCCAAAACAGCGGCGGCUCCGCCGGCAGCGGCGGCCGGCGACCAACUCCGGCAACCUGCAAAUGCCACCAAAUUUUAACAGAAUCUUCCUCUCAAUCUCCUCUACAACUUUCAUGACCAACACAAACUCCAAUUCUAAGCCUAACCAUGUCAAUCGAACACAAACAACCAUAAAUCCCUAAAACUUUCAAUUAUACAAACCACCCUAACGAAAUCGAAUUAAGCCGAAACCUUUUGAGGGAUUACUCACCUAGAUGAGGGCUACAAGUUGAGCCAAAAAUCACGACCUAUGGUGGCCGGAGGACGGAGCUCCGGCGAAAACACAGUCGGCGGUUCCGGCGGCUUUUUCUCCUCUCCGGCGGGUUAGAGGCUCGGGGGCUAGGCCGGGGAGGGAGAGGAGGUGACGGGGGUCCGAUCUGGGCUGGAGCGGCGGCAGCUGGUGGCCGGACGGCGGCGGGAGGACGGCCGGAAGUCUGCUGGGUGUAGAGAGAAAAAACUCGGGUGGGAAGAGAAGAAAAAUCGGGAGGAAGAGAGAGAGAAAGGAAGAAGAAAUGGGUUGGGCUCGGCCCAGCCGACCCAACUCUCCUUUUAAUCCAAAAUUCAACACCCCGAAAAAUAAUACCCGAAUAAAAAUUACCUUUUACUAGCUAAAAUUUACUAUUUUUACCGUCGUCGUAUUUUCUUCAUACUAAUAAUCCUCCGCACAUAAUCGUCCCCGAAACCCCUCUAGGGACCAAUUAAACUAUUUACUCAAUGACGGAGACGGUAAAAUUCUUAUUAUAAUCACGCUAGUAAAUAAGGUAAAAAUAUAAGGGUCGGGAUGUGACAAA
rnacentral:lncRNA from 1 species